rnacentral:rRNA from 1 species
GAUGAACGCUGGCGGCGUGCCUAAUACAUGCAAGUCGAGCGAACAGAUGAGGAGCUUGCUCCUCUGACGUUAGCGGCGGACGGGUGAGUAACACGUGGAUAACCUACCUAUAAGACUGGGAUAACUUCGGGAAACCGGGCUAAUACCGGAUAAUAUAUUGAACCGCAUGGUUCAAUAGUGAAAGACGGUUUUGCUGUCACUUAUAGAUGGAUCCGCGCCGCAUUAGCUAGUUGGUAAGGUAACGGCUUACCAAGGCAACGAUGCGUAGCCGACCUGAGAGGGUGAUCGGCCACACUGGAACUGAGACACGGUCCAGACUCCUACGGGAGGCAGCAGUAGGGAAUCUUCCGCAAUGGGCGAAAGCCUGACGGAGCAACGCCGCGUGAGUGAUGAAGGUCUUCGGAUCGUAAAACUCUGUUAUUAGGGAAGAACAAAUGUGUAAGUAACUAUGCACGUCUUGACGGUACCUAAUCAGAAAGCCACGGCUAACUACGUG